rnacentral:misc_RNA from 1 species
GAUGAAGAACGCAGUGAAAUGCGAUAAGUAAUGUGAAUUGCAGAAUUCAGUGAAUCAUCGAAUCUUUGAACGCACAUUGCGCCCGCUGGUAUUCCGGCGGGCAUGCCUGUUCGAGCGUCAUUUCAACCCUCAAGCUCUCCGGAGUUUGGUGUUGGGGCGCCUGGGGCUUUUCGACCUCAGGGCCCUCAAGUCCAUCGGCGGGACCGCCAGGACACUGAGCGCAGUAGUAUUAUUUCGCUCGGUAGGAUCUUCCACGGCGGGUCGAUCUGGCCGCUAAACCCCCCAAUUCUCACCAAAGGUUGACCUCGGAUCAGGUAGGAAUACCCGCUGAACUUAAGCAAAUCAAUAAGCGGAGGA